rnacentral:lncRNA from 1 species
GGCGCUUUUUCUUUUCUCGGGCGCUCUCGGGCGUUCCCAAGCGCUUUUUAGUAGGACAGAUCUUAUCGUAUUAUUUAUUUAUCGUAGGACAUGUAGAAAAAAAUCCGUCCUUUCGGAUAAGUAGUUUUAUACAUAUCACCCCAAGGUUAUCCUAGUAACGUGUCGAGUAACGAGUAGCAGCAUGAAAACAAAUAAAUGGUGGUGUCAAACUGUCAAAUCCAAUGUAUCUGUGUUUUCCCCCCAAAAUGUUUUUAUACGGAGCACUCAGGGGAGGACAAGAUAACUUCUUUAACACCGAAAAAUAUAUUAGAAAAAAAAAUGAAUAAA